AUUAGGGAAAGUGAAGCAACGGUAGAGAGGGUCAUAGAAUUGAACCAAUACACUCAGAAGUCCUUCAACCACAUCGGCAAAUAAGAUAGACAGAAGCUUCCCAUGACGUUGCUUGAAGUACAAGGGAUCUAAUACAAAGGAUGCUAGCUUCCUUAACUCUUUCAAGUCUCUGAAACUAUACUUCUUAGUGUUUCUUCGUCCACAG
rnacentral:lncRNA from 1 species